CCCAGUGCUCUCAGAAGGAAAACCCUUUCCCUCCCCCACCCACUUGAACAGGGUAAAUGUACCGAGUUGCUUCCAGCCUGAAGGCCACCCCUGGAGGCUGAGCGGUGUCACAGCUUCACCUCAUCCAGGUUCAGCUGCAGCCACUUCAUUCUGCGGCUGAGUCCCUGACAAUGAGCCUGGGCGCUUUGCUGCUGGUGCUGGCUCCAGGUGCGUUGGCCCAAUACACGGUGACCCAGGAGCCGUCCCAGGUCGCUGCCAAUGAAGGAGAACCCAUCCAGCUCAACUGCUCCUACACGGGCACCGAGGACAGCGUGCAUUGGUACCGCCAGCCCCAUGGGGGCCAUCCGCGGUUCCUGGCGCUCCUGUCCUCUAGCGGCAGAGACACCCGAGAGAAUUUCACCAUGAGCCUGGACACCAAAACCAAAAGCAGCUUCUUGUACCUGAACAGCAGCCGCCUGGCAGACUCUGCUGUGUAUCUGUGCGCGCUGGAGCACAGUGCCAGGUGAGCACAGGCAGCCCGUCACAAAACCCUGGGUGGGGGCAGGGCACACGGACCCGAGAGAGGAGACAAGCAGAAGUUAGAAUAGAGCAGAGGAUAUGAGCACAGAAGAGAAGAAAGGAAAGUAGAACAGAGUCGGCGAGAGGCUAUAAGUAUAGAAUGGAACUGAAGAGAACACACGGGAACGGACCGGAACAGGAGCGAUGUGAACAGAAUAAAGGGGAGAGAAGAGAACAGGGGUCAGUAAUUUAAGGAAGAAACUUGAAGAAUCAUCUGAAAAAUUAUAGACAUUUUCACCUUUUCGCCUUCCCCAAUUGCCUGGAUCUGGUGGUUUUAUAUAAAAAAAAUAGCUUCCUUGCCCCACAACACUAGCAGAUGGGGAAGCAUUCCCUGGGGAGACAACAUGGGAACUCAGUCAUUCCAAUGCGAUUUUCUCUGUUGUUCGGGUCAGACACUGUCAGACUGGUAACAUGCACACAGACAUUCUCACAUACAGCCACACACAGGACACACUCGCACAAGUACUCUCUCUCUCUCUCUCUCUCUCUCUCACACACACACACAUUCUCACAUACAACCACUCUCUAGAUUCUAACACAAAGCCAGAAACCUACUCACUGAAAUCACACACACACGCAUAGUCUCUGACAUAUAUCCCCCCUUCAUACACACUCAGAAAUAUAGAUAGCUAUGCAUACACACCAUGACACACACACACUUAAUCUCAGAGGUAAACAGCUCCAUUCACACUCGAGAUGAUAAUAUCCUCGAUUGGACCAUCUUCUGUUGGGGACACAAGUUUUCCAGCUACAGAGAGCUCUUCCUCCGCUGGGAAUCGUCUCUCUCUCACCAACAGAAGUUGGUCCAUUAAAAGAUAUGACCUCACCCACCUUGGCACCAACACAGCUACAACAACGCGGCACGCUCCUAGAUAAACAGCCUGGCCCCCAGAGUGAA